rnacentral:lncRNA from 1 species
CCCGCCGCGCCUCGCCCGUGCUGCUGCUCCGAGGGAGCAUCUUUAGCGGCUUGCCUGUCCUGUGCUGUAACCAAGGGCAUUUGAUUUUCACAAGCGUUUAACCGAGGGUCUUUUCUCAGCAUGCAGUCUCUUUAUAUUUGGGUGUGAUCACCAACCACAUCCUCUGCACUGGACAUUUGGCUUCUCUUUCCAUAUCUUCUUCCUGCUUUUCUGAAGGAUAAAAUAUUAAAUUGUUCUGGGCUUGAGGAGUAAAGGAUAAAUUCAUUCACUGGCUGA